AAAAACAGUACAAGGUUACAGUCUCUGUUGCUUCUUCCCAGUUAAACAUUUACUUACAUUUGUUUUGCCAUUUUUCAAUUAUCAGUUUAUCAGUUUCAAACGGAAUUUUAUUCAACGCUGAAUCUCAUCUCAUCAACAUCAAUGCCCAGUAUCCAUUAGAUCCAUCGGAAUCGACUGAAUGACCACCACCUUCCUGUUCUAAGUACUAGCGCCGCAGGAGUGUUUACAUCUCUUUUGGUAUAUUAAAUUCACUCCUGCAGCCUUGGUGCUUACUAUGGGACGGUGCAGGGUAAAUUAGUAAAUUAAUAACAUUUGUUUUUUUUAUUUAUUUAUGUCUUUCAAGUCAAAUUUUAUUUUUCAUUAGUGUUUUCUGCUCAGCCGACUCAUGAAGUAAGAAUGAAUUUGAUCCAGAGUUCUGCUAUCGUUGUUUUAUAAUUUAACAACAGGAGAUGAGGUGGAAUCAAGACAGUCGACCUCCAGAAGUUUCCAGAGGAAUUAAAGGAUCGAAAUAAGGAGUCGGCCAAAGUCCAAUGACUCAAAUGUGAAUCAAUUUAAUGACCGUAAAAAUGUAUUAAUAUAAAUAAAUAAAUAAAUUUGAUUGAAGUUUGAA